CUCGGAGACCACGUGUGCAUGGAUAAUGAGGUUAACGUGCACUCAUCGAGUAAGGUAUUUACACAUCGGACCGACUCGGAUUCAACGUGACCAAGUGUGCCCUUACAAGUCCCAGCCUUUUCCUUCUUUCUAUCUACGAACAUGGAUUCUAUUCAACGUAUCCUUGGUUACCAGUAAUUUUCACUUGCUAUACUUAGACAACAAUUUUAUAAUUGUUCAAUUUACAAUUGCUAACAUUAUCGUUGUAUCAUUAAUUAUACAUUAAUGGAAAAGAGAAGGAAUGAAAAUCCUAUUCUAGUUCGAAGAACAAAGAAAUACAAGCUCUCGAUCGCACGAAGAAUUACAAGGACCAGACUGCGAGCAGAGUCGACAUACAUUCAUCACAAUUGACACGAUUGACCUACAGCGGUUCUCAACCAUGGAGUCUCGUGAAAACCGGUUUGACAGGGUUCAAGAAUAUAAAUGAUAUCGGUGCUCUACUCGCUUCUUCUCGUGAAAGUACA